rnacentral:rRNA from 1 species
GAUGAACGCUGGCGGCGUGCCUAAUACAUGCAAGUCGAGCGAACAGACGAGGAGCUUGCUCCUCUGACGUUAGCGGCGGACGGGUGAGUAACACGUGGAUAACCUACCUAUAAGACUGGGAUAACUUCGGGAAACCGGAGCUAAUACCGGAUAAUAUAUUGAACCGCAUGGUUCAAUAGUGAAAGACGGUUUUGCUGUCACUUAUAGAUGGAUCCGCGCCGCAUUAGCUAGUUGGUAAGGUAACGGCUUACCAAGGCGAGGAUGCGUAGCCGACCUGAGAGGGUGAUAGGGCAGGGUGGAACGGAGAGACGGUCCAGAGUGCGACGGGAGGCAGCAGUAGGGAAUCUUGCGCAAUGGGCGAAAGCCGGACGGAGCGGCGCGGCGUGGGUGAUGAAGGUCUUCGGAUCGUAAAGCGCUGUUAUUGGGGAAGAACAAAUGUGUAAGUAACUAUGCACGUCUUGACGGUACCUAAUCAGAAAGCCACGGCUAACUACGUG